UGGUUUGAGAGGUUGAAGCUGCCAGCAUGAUCUGGUAAUGAAUCUAGACAUCACGCUUUUCUUUUCCUUCUUUAUGUAACAUUCUUUAACCAGUCUUGAUAUAGAUGUAGUGUGUAGCGGAGGUGAGAGAUACCCGCAGUUAAGUAGAUUGUAUAGGACCAGUUUGGAUCAAAAUUCUCGAGUGGAAGAGGAAUUAUUUAUGUGCUGAAAGCAUUUUGAGGAUAGGGGUAUUGUCAUUAAUUUGGAAUUAAUUUAGAUGUCUUAAGUAAAGAACCCUGCUUGGACUUAGCUUCAUAGAUAUGGUUCAGCAUCAGGUCAUCUUGCAGCUUCAAUCACUCAAUCC
rnacentral:pre_miRNA from 1 species